AAACUGCGAAUGGCUCAUAAAUCAGUAUCGUUCAUUGAUAGCAAAUUACUACUUGGAUAACCGUGGUAAUUCUAGGGCUAAUACAUGCUGAAAACCCCAACUUCGGAAGGGGUGUGUUUAUUAGAUAAAAAACCAAUGCCCUUUCGGGGCUCUUUGGUGAAUCAUGAUAACCUAACGAAUCGCAUGGCCUUGCGCCGGCGAUGGUUCAUUCAAAUUUCUGCCCUAUCAACUUUCGAUGGUAGAGUAGUGGUCUACCAUGGUUUCAACGGGUGACGGGGAAUUAGGGUUCGACUCCGGAGAGGGAGCCUGAGAAACGGCUACCACAUCCAAGGAAGGCAGCAGGCGCGCAAAUUACCCAAUCCCGACUCGGGGAGGUAGUGACAAUAAAUACUAAUACAGGGCUCUUUUGGGUCUUGUAAUUGGAAUGAGUACAAUUUAAAUCCCUUAACGAGGAACAAUUGGAGGGCAAGUCUGGUGCCAGCAGCCGCGGUAAUUCCAGCUCCAAUAGCGUAUAUUAAAGUUGUUGCAGUUAAAAAGCUCGUAGUUGAACCUUGGGCCUGGCCGGCCGGUCCGCCUCACCGCGUGCACUGGCCCGGCCGGGUCUUUCCUUCUGGGGAGCCGCAUGCCCUUUACUGGGCGUGUCGGGGAUCCAGGACUUUUACUUUGAAAAAAUUAGAGUGUUCAAAGCAGGCCUUUGCUCGAAUACAUUAGCAUGGAAUAAUAGAAUAGGACGUGCGGUCCUAUUUUGUUGGUUUCUAGGACCGCCGUAAUGAUUAAUAGGGACAGUCGGGGGCAUCCGUAUUCAAUUGUCAGAGGUGAAAUUCUUGGAUUUAUUGAAGACGAACUACUGCGAAAGCAUUUGCCAAGGAUGUUUUCAUUAAUCAGUGAACGAAAGUUAGGGGAUCGAAGACGAUCAGAUACCGUCGUAGUCUUAACCGUAAACUAUGCCGACUAGGGAUCGGGCGAUGUUACCAUUUUGACUCGCUCGGCACCUUACGAGAAAUCAAAGUCUUUGGGCUCUG
rnacentral:rRNA from 1 species